AGUAUUUGUAGGAGGCCACCAGAGAGACAGGAUUGCAAGGUUUUAAAUAUGCUAGUGUCAUGAGGUCAUGGAUUUCCUACCUGAAACAGAUAGUGUGACUGCCCUGCUAUAGCCAUGUUUGGCCAGUGUAGGAAUUUUGAGAACAGUGAACACUUAAUACUCAGAUGGCAUUUUGCCACCCCGACAAGGACCAUACCUGCCAUUCCAUUGUAGUUCGCCUUGCCCAGAAGUUUUAAAAUUUUUCUUUCAGCCUGGGAUUUCAAGUGUACUACAGCAUCCUCUUCACCUAUACAAGCGUCUGUUGUUUUAAAAGGAAACUGUUCAGGUCUACUGGCGGCACUUCUUUCAGAUUUGUUUG
rnacentral:lncRNA from 10 species